rnacentral:lncRNA from 1 species
CGACGUCUUACGGGUCAAAUUAAUAAUUACCUUAAUUUGGGAUAAAACUCCUAAUGUCUACAAAGUCUAUAAAUAUUGACAUACAAUACUACAACUUAAAAAAAAGCUAACAUAACAUGAAAUAAGUAAAAAAAUAAAAAUAUAAAAAUAUACUACCUAAUUUCCUUUUCUUUUUUCUUUUGUUUUUUCCCUUCUUCUUUUUCUUCCCAAGCACGGCUUGUGCUCGUGCGGCUGGUCACCGGCUCCAGUGAGGGGCGGCGGCUGUAACGGUGGCGUCACCGACGAUCGGAGAUUGCAGAGGCGCGGAGCUCUGGCGAGAUCCGACAAUUCGGAGCGGGCGGUCGCGGAUGAAGGUGCUGCACAGCAGGGGAGUCGCUCGAACUUCGGAUCUGGUGGCAGGGCAACAGGGGGCUCGUGACCCUCGGUGCUAUCGGCAGAGACGGCGGGAGGAGCAGCGGCAGCGUCAGAGGCAGGGGCGUCAGCCGCUGGUCGGAGCAGAGGCAGAACCGGCCGUCACAGGGGGGCGGAGUUGCAGUAGGAGACGCUGGGGCAGAGAUGCAGGCUCGGGCUGAGGCGAACCAUCAGCGAAACAAGGAAAUCCGUCGUCGCAGGGGCUGUAGGCGAGCAAGGCGCGGCGUCGGGUCGUCGCGGCGAUGGUGCUCGCGGUGGCACAGCGGCGAGUGGAGUGGCGGGGAGCGUAAGCGUUGGCGGCUGUGCUGCUGCGCGUCAGUGGCGAGUCCGGCGAGGCAACGGUGGCGGAGGCGUGGUGGUGCUCGGAGGCCGACUGAGGGUGGUUCAGAGAGGAUCUGCUGGCGGAGCGGCGGCGAAGCAACGCGGACGGCGUGGGCACGGCCGGCGCGGACAGGGGGCAGCGUCGGGAGGAAGAAGACGACGCUGUAGCCCCUGUUUUCUUUUCCCUUUUUUUCUGUUUUCUUUUACUUCUUUUUUUUUUCUCUCUCUCUCACGUUGCUUUUCUGCUUUUUCUUCUCUGCCACCCCCUGUUGCUGUUGUACUUCGGCAGAAAAACCCAAAAAAGCUUCUGCUGACUUUUCCUUUUCUAAAAGAAACGAAACCUCUCUUCCCUUUCCUCUCUUUUCACUUUUUCUUUUCGACGAAGAGGACCCCGACCGAAGCUCAUCUUCCCUCUCUUUUGCUUUCUUCUUUUUUUUCGGCCGAACGACAGAAUUUUUUGCUCUGAAUUUUUUUCGAAUUCCUCCCCCCUAAA